CGGGCUUCGUGAUUGGUAGAUGGAGCUAGCUGGCCAUCGAGUCCUCAAUCGAUGGGACUAUUAUGACAAAAUAGUAUAUAUUAGUCAUCUUUCUUUGUAGUUGCUCCACACCUUCCUCACGUUAAGGCCUUCAACUCUCUUCUGCUAAUAUCUUGUUGUUUUUGCAACUCAUCCUUCCUAGACUGUUCUAUGGCCUCCGCAGCUGCCGGUGCAACUCUAGAUGGUCCAGCAUCAUCUGCAGUUUGCGGGACGAAUAACGGUACGGCUGUAUCAGGUGGUGGGGGUGGUCGAAGGACUGCUUUUCCAAUCUGGGAAGCAUUAGACGGAACUGUUGGAAGUGGCGGGCCACGAUCACGAUAACGUGGUACAAGACGCAUACCACUAGACAUGAUCUAUACAAAAUAUUGACAAGUAUUAGUCUAAAUUUUGUGAUUAUUGACAUUAUUAUGUAAGCAUAUUAUUAUUGAGAAUA